rnacentral:pre_miRNA from 1 species
UAGAGAUGAUGAUGAUGAUGAUGAUGAUUGUGGUUCGGUUAGGAAAGUAGCGUCCUUUCCUAACCAAACCACAAUCAUCAUCAUCAUCAUCUCUA